CGACAGCCUCAGAGCUGGUGGAGAGGCAGAGCGCCGGCAGCGGGGUAAAUUCGUAGACGUGGAAUUCCUGGAUCAAAUGGUCACCAAUUGUUUCAGCAUCAUUUAUUGAAUAAUCCAACCUCCUUCCACUGAUUUGAAAUGGCAAGAACUGUCCUCCCACUAGAUAGGGUGUAGCU